rnacentral:tRNA from 1 species
GCCCCUGUAGUAUAGCUUGGAUAGUACGCACGGUUGCGGUCCGUGAAACCGGAGUUCAAAUCUUCGCAGGGGCA